AACGAACGCUGGCGGCAUGCCUAACACAUGCAAGUCGAACGAGACCUUCGGGUCUAGUGGCGCACGGGUGCGUAACGCGUGGGAAUCUGCCCUUGGGUUCGGAAUAACAGUUGGAAACGACUGCUAAUACCGGAUGAUGACGUAAGUCCAAAGAUUUAUCGCCCAGGGAUGAGCCCGCGUAGGAUUAGCUAGUUGGUGGGGUAAAGGCCUACCAAGGCGACGAUCCUUAGCUGGUCUGAGAGGAUGAUCAGCCACACUGGGACUGAGACACGGCCCAGACUCCUACUGGAGGCAGCAGUGGGGAAUAUUGGACAAUGGGCGAAAGCCUGAUCCAGCAAUGCCGCGUGAGUGAUGAAGGCCUUAGGGUUGUAAAGCUCUUUUACCCGGGAUGAUAAUGACAGUACCGGGAGAAUAAGCCCCGGCUAACUCCGUG
rnacentral:rRNA from 1 species